AAAUAUUGCCAUCUAGACAAUAUUCACACCCAAAUAAGUCCUCAUUAUAAUUAUUGGUACAUUAUUUUACAAAAAUGGUGAGGACUACUAAAACAACUCUCUAGAAUCAUCAUUCCACACUCCGACUAGAACUCGCUACAUUCUCGCCUCCUAAGAAGAAAAAUGGAACAAAAAGGAAAAGGGUGAGCUCAACUAGCCCAGUAAAGAAUAUUAUGACUAAGAUAAUAUAGAACAAAUUAUC
rnacentral:lncRNA from 1 species